AUUGAACGCUGGCGGCAGGCCUAACACAUGCAAGUCGAGCGAGCGGCGGACGGGUGAGUAAUGUAUGGGGAUGUGCCCGAGAGGGGGGGAUAACUCCGGGAAGCGGUGGCUAAUACCGCAUACUAGCGGAUGACCCCAUAUGGGAUUAGCUAGUGGGUGGGGUAAAGGCUCACCUAGGCGACGAUCUCUAGCUGGUGUGAGAGGAUGAUCAGCCACACUGGGACUGAGACACGGCCCAGACUCCUACGGGAGGCAGCUGUGGGGAAUAUUGGACAAUGGGCGCAAGCCUGAGGCAGCCAUGCCGCGUGUAUGAAGAAGGCCUUAGGGUUGUAAAGUACUUUCGGCGGAGAGGCGUUACCCGCAGAAGAAGCACCGGCUAACUCCGUGCCAGCAGCCGCGGUAAUAC
rnacentral:rRNA from 1 species